AUAAGUUAUUAUUCUUCCUUCUUUCAAGCAGCAUACCCUCGUUUGACCCACAUUCUCUUUCUCAUUCUUUUUCUCUCUUAUUUUCAACCACGCAAUCUUCAAUAAAAUUAUAUUCCACGCAAAUAAAAAAAAUUUCAUUUUUUUUUCAACCACACAUUAUUCAAAAAAACACUAUUCUAACCAUUAAAAUUUGGGAAGAAUGGAGGCCAAACUGUCGGGCUAAAAAAUUCAGCCCUAAAAAGUGAAAUACACAGGAUGAUGGUUUUCAAAGCUAGCCUUAAAAGUGGUCAUUUAUAGAUGUAGUUGAAUCUAUUGUCCCUGUUCUGUAGAAUCACAAAGGACUCUCAAUAUUAUUUCCAGGAUCAUGAAUGAAAAAUGUAACAGGAGAGGCAGCAUUAGGCUGUAGUAGCACAAUUUCCAAAUACUUCGAUCAUAGAUUUAUUUAAAAUCAUGUACAAUGUUACAUGAAAAAUAUAGUACCUCGUGAUAUGGUAUCUUUCUUCAAAUUAGCCUCGAAUAGAGUUCAAAAGACCUAGUCUUUUGUAGUUUAUGUAGAUGUAACCUAUGAUAUAUAAAUUCCAAAAUCACAACUGCGUUGCAAACUUUUAUGUGGUCCGAUUGACCAAAAGAAGGGGCCAAAAAUGGUAUGUGGUUACAAUCUAGAACUCGUC
rnacentral:lncRNA from 1 species